AUCUCUUCACAGGAUACGGUAAAUUUACAAAUAUUGAGAAUAAACUCAGAUUUAAUUAGGUACAAUUGAAGGACUAUAAUUUACAACUUAUUUGGAACGAUUUAACAUGAUAGGGAGUUACCUAAAACUGAAUUGGUCAAAAAACUUAGUUACCGCUGACUUACAAAUUCCAGAAAUGAUCUUACAAAUUUAAGAUAUAUAUAUACAUAUACAUAUAUAUAUUAAAAUUAAUGGGCUAAAAAUAACAAUUAAUUGUUUGAAACGAUUCAGCUGUGAGGGGGGAAAUUUCUCAGACGUGC